CUUACACAUGCAAGUCGAACGGAAAGGCCCUUCUUUUGUGGGGUGCUCGAGUGGCGAACGGGUGAGUAACACGUGAGUAACCUGCCCUUGACUUUGGGAUAACUUCAGGAAACUGGGGCUAAUACCGGAUAGGAGCUCCUGCUGCAUGGUGGGGGUUGGAAAGUUUCGGCGGUUGGGGAUGGACUCGCGGCUUAUCAGCUUGUUGGUGGGGUAGUGGCUUACCAAGGCUUUGACGGGUAGCCGGCCUGAGAGGGUGACCGGCCACAUUGGGACUGAGAUACGGCCCAGACUCCUACGGGAGGCAGCAGUGGGGAAUAUUGCACAAUGGGCGGAAGCCUGAUGCAGCAACGCCGCGUGCGGGAUGACGGCCUUCGGGUUGUAAACCGCUUUCGCCUGUGACGAAGCGUGAGUGACGGUAAUGGGUAAAGAAGCACCGGCUAACUACGUGCCAGCAGCCGCGGUGAUACGUAGGGUGCGAGCGUUGUCCGGAUUUAUUGGGCGUAAAGGGCUCGUAGGUGGUUGAUCGCGUCGGAAGUGUAAUCUUGGGGCUUAACCCUGAGCGUGCUUUCGAUACGGGUUGACUUGAGGAAGGUAGGGGAGAAUGGAAUUCCUGGUGGAGCGGUGGAAUGCGCAGAUAUCAGGAGGAACACCAGUGGCGAAGGCGGUUCUCUGGGCCUUUCCUGACGCCGAGGAGCGAAAGCGUGGGGAGCGAACAGGCUUAGAUACCCUGGUAGUCCACGCUGUAAACGGUGGGUACUAGGUGUGGGGUCCAUUCCACGGGUUCCGUGCCGUAGCUAACGCUUUAAGUACCCCGCCUGGGGAGUACGGCCGCAAGGCUAAAACUCAAAGGAAUUGACGGGGCCCCGCACAAGCGGCGGAGCAUGCGGAUUAAUUCGAUGCAACGCGUAGAACCUUACCUGGGUUUGACAUGGAUCGGGAGUGCUCAGAGAUGGGUGUGCCUCUUUUGGGGUCGGUUCACAGGUGGUGCAUGGCUGUCGUCAGCUCGUGCCGUGAGAUGUUGGGUUAAGUCCCGCAACGAGCGCAACCCUUGUUCACUGUUGCCAGCACGUUAUGGUGGGGACUCAGUGGAGACCGCCGGGGUCAACUCGGAGGAAGGUGGGGAUGACGUCAAGUCAUCAUGCCCCUUAUGUCCAGGGCUUCACGCAUGCUACAAUGGCUGGUACAGAGAGUGGCGAGCCUGUGAGGGUGAGCGAAUCUCGGAAAGCCGGUCUCAGUUCGGAUUGGGGUCUGCAACUCGACCUCAUGAAGUCGGAGUCGCUAGUAAUCGCAGAUCAGCAACGCUGCGGUGAAUACGUUCCCGGGGCUUGUACACACCGCCCGUCAAGUCAUGAAAGUUGGUAACACCCGAAGCCGGUGGCCUAACCGUUGUGGGGGAGCCGUCGAAGGUGGGACUGGUGAUUAGGACUAAGU
rnacentral:rRNA from 1 species